GGCCGCGUAGAUCAAUCGUAGAUCGCCGGUCUCCUAAAUUUGGGCAACCGGAGGUUGCGGGUUCAAGUCCCGCCGUGGUCU
rnacentral:tRNA from 1 species